UACGUAGGGAGCAAGCGUUGUCCGGAAUCAUUGGGCGUAAAGCGCGCGUAGGCGGCCCCGUAAGUCCGCUGUGAAAGUCAAAGGCUCAACCUUUGAAAGCCGGUGGAUACUGUGGGGCUAGAGUCCGGAAGAGGCGAGUGGAAUUCCUGGUGUAGCGGUGGAAAGCGCAGAUAUCAGGAGGAACACCAAUAGCGAAGGCAGCUCGCUGGGACGGUACUGACGCUAAGGCGCGAAAGCGUGGGGAGCGAACAGG
rnacentral:rRNA from 1 species